rnacentral:lncRNA from 1 species
GCCACUUAUUAUUGCAAAGGUACUUAGAAUUGUACUUUUGAAUCUGGCCCCAUAGCAACCUCAAAUAAAAACAGAAUUCUGUAACUAAGGAGGAAGCACUCAGGCCAAAGAGAGGGCAACCUCAGGCUGCCUGUUGCAGCUGCCAUUCUGAGCACGGGACACCUUCAUGGCCCUUUUCACUGCUGGCUCUCUCUGAUCAGACCAUCCCACAGUAGCCUCAGCCUGGGAAGGAGCACCACACAGGAAGGGGCUGUGCAUUUCAACUAGUUCUACCCCCAGCUGUUAAGACACCGGGCAAGACGCCCAGGGAAACAAGGUUUUGCCUGUAAACUGAAAAGAAGAGCGUCGGGAGGAAAUACCAGGGAUAAUUUGAAGUGGGCAGCUGAAGAAAUCCAGGCUGUCAACACCUUCGAUGAAAAGAACUACUUGGAGUGCCACCGUGGGUCCACCCCCGAGUGGGGGGUGGGGAGGGGUGGGCUAUGGUUGGGAAGCUUUCUGGAGGCCUCAUGCUGGGACAUCAGGUGGCUCACCCCCAACAAGCUGAAACCGGAUAUUGCUGCCAAGUUCCUUGGAAGGCUCAACUUUGUUGCCCUUGAAAAUUUGUAUCUGUAAAAAGGCAGGGUGGGCCUGGUGUGAUGGCGCACGCCUUUAAUCCCAGCACUCGGGAGGCAGAGGCAGGCGGAUUUCUGAGUUCAAGGCCAGCCUGGUCUACAAAGUGAGUUCCAGAGCCAGAGCUAUACAGAAAAAAACCUGUCUCAAAAAAACCAAACCAAACCAAACCAAAACAAAACAGAACAAAAAGGCAGGGUGGCCUGGGGACUGAGGGUGGGUUCUGGGUUUAGGAUGCUCACACCAGUGCAUGGGACUUGCACCAUUACUGUUAGCAUUUCUUCUAGGCUCCACUCCACAGUUACCUGGCAAUAGCCAGGU